GAAAGUAAAAGGAUUUGAAAGUUCUGUGAUUUUGACAUACGCCAUUACAGAGAGCAAGGCAGGCUGCUACCUCCUGAAUUCAUGAGGGUAUGGCAGGAAUAUUCAGGAAUAUGUUCAAUCCCUUCAUUAAUGCACCCCCUGGAGUGCUCUGCAAUCUGCAUAAUGAAAAACUGAAGCUGUUCUGUUUGGACGACAAAGAGGUGAUCUGUCUCGUGUGUCAAACUUCAAGAAAGCACGCAAAUCACAGAGUCUGCCCAGUGGAAGAAGCUGCCGUGGAUUACAAGACGCCUUUAUCCAAGGUGACUUACAGAGACUAGGGUGUGUGAACUAUGCAUCAGCUGCAGAGUCACUUACAACUACGUCACCCGAAAGACGGAGCACAAGGAGGUUAAGUGACUUGCUCAGGGUCACACAAUGAGUCAGUGGCUGAGGUGGGAUUUGAACCGGGGACCUCCUGCUUACAAGCCCUGUUCGCUAACCGCUGGACCACACAGCCUCCUAUAGUAAUUUGUGAAUCUAAAACUGAGAAUGCAACACCUGUCUUUUUAUAGCAAUGCAGUUUCAUUUGUCAGGGCGCCAUGUUAGAUUUCAGGAGGGGGUCUGGUUAGGCCCCUGGAAGCUCUUGGUUUUAUUGCAGACAAAAAACUUAAAAAUCAGUUUAUUACGGGAAGCAUUUUCUGUGAUUAUUUCCUAUAUUCUUUUUAUAAAUCAUACAAUAAGAAAAAUUAUCAACACAGGACAAACAGACAACUUUUAAAGCUAAGCAAUAUGCAGCUGUGGCUUGCAGAACCAGUAUCAAAUACAGCCUUAUUUAAGCUUGUAUAUAAGUUCAGAACACACGAGAUAAUAGUCAUACAUUACUGAUCCCACAGCCUUGAGGCACCAAUCUUGGAGUCCUAGCACAGAGAUCAAUCACACAGUUUGAUGCAUUGCGCACUAUCCUUAGUAGAGAGAAACCAUUUUGUUUUAUAAAAUAAAAUCUACUUACCCCUGCAAUGACGUCCCAAAUUGAAGCAUUUGUGUUCAUCUCAUGCAAGCUCACCCCUCCCAUUGGGUAAGUUAUUUUGUUAAACUGCUGCAAUAGAAAGUGUUUGUUGUCUGGUUUCAAAAGUUCUCCUGACAGGACAUGUUUUUUUUCAGAUGAGGCUCGAGGUCAUUAGGCUACUGAUGUAACUUAAAACAGGUAUUCUUACUGCAACACAUCCUUCAAGUCCUGAUUUCAAGAGUGACCUUCGUACAGUUGAUGGACAAGCGACACCUGUGCCUUCUGCCAAUUCUAUUGUCAAUUCAACGCUUGUCUUCUUCCUAUUCCUUAAGGAAUCUUCAGCCAGGCAUGUGUUAGCAGUGAUGUGCAAGCUCAGGGAGAACUCAAGACUGCGCUGGAGCCCUUGAAGGACAAGCUGAAAACCUUCAAUAAAGUUAAAGAAGGAUGUGAUGAAACAGCAGAGCGCAUCGAGACACAAACAUUGCGAAAUCUCAUCCCUUUCAGACACAAUCCGAGUGAUAGAACAGGAGAUGGAAGCUGAAGGCAUCGUAUUCCUGCAGAAGUACACAGACACACAGAGCAGGUAUGUAAGACCUAGCCUGUCUCCCUCUCUUGUAUUGUAUUGAAACACAGAGCAGCACUAGCUCCUGAAUAUGAUUGCAGAGCCGAGUGCACGCUGCAGGAUCCACAGUGUGUUUCAGGAGCGCUGAUAGAUGUAGCCGAGCACCUGGGCUCUCUGAAGUACAAAGUAUGGCAGAAGAUGCUGGAGAUUGUUGAACACACUCCAGUGGCUCUGGAUCCCAACACAGCAGCACCCGGGCUCGUGGUGUCUGAGGAUCUAACAAGUGUGAGAGACAGAAUGAGAGACAGCAGCUUCCUGACAACCCAGAGCGGUUUGAUCCCUGUGUUAAUGUGCUGGGCUCGGAGGGAUUUACCUCGGGGAAACACUGGGAUGCUGAAGUUGGAAACAAAACUGACUGGACUGUGGGUGUGACAAGAGAGUCGAGCCAGAGGAAAGGGAAGAUCACUCUGAACCCAGGAGCAGGAUACUGGGCUGUAGCCCUGAGGAAUGGGGAUCAGUACUGGGCAGGAACCUCACCAGGGACACGACUCACUCUGGAGAAGAAGCCCCAGAAGAUCAGAGUUCAACUGGACUGUGACGGGGGGAGGUGGCGUUCUUUGAUGCCAGUGAUAUGAGACCCAUCUACACUUUCAAAGAGAGAUAUACUGAGAGAAUAUUUCCAUAUUUCUCACCUUGCUUAAAUCAAGAUGGGGAAAAAACCUGCCCCCUCUGAAUCUGCCCCAUGAAUGCAGUUAUAGAAGUGGACUAGCCCAAUAAUAUCUCUCAUUGGUAUAAUAUCAUGUCACUCUGACUGUAGCCAAUAGAAACACAGUAAAUACAUCAUUCUUGCUGACUGCUCAACACAUCCUUGUGCAGUAACUCAAAUUACAAGGACGCUGGCUGUCACUCAACUCUUUGUAAUUAAUGUCAAUGUUAUCCAUGGAGUAAAACUAUGACACCGCAUUGUUCAUGAUAUUAUUAAUGUAAAUCAUUGCAUUUCUUCUUUUCGAUUUCCAGUGGUAUUAGGAUCCCACCUGAAGCUUUAAACUCCCUUUGCUGCACGCAGGACUGUAGGAGGAGUCAGCUGCUCACAGAGUUCUAUCACAGAGCUCUAGAACAGAACCCUGUGUCACUGCUCAACACCAACAUUCUUAGAGCUCUGGGAGCAUUCCAAGACAGGACCACGCCCCCUGACGGCAUUAUAGCAGAGAGGUUUAGUGACGUCUUGAGCACUAAAUGAUUUACAGGGAAAUGAGAAGAGGCUGUCAAUAAGAGGGAAGAACGUGUAUUACCCUAUUAUUAUUAUUAUUAUUAUUAUUAUUAUUAUUAUUAUUAUUAUUAUUUGUUUCUUUAGCAGAAGCCUUUCUCCAAGGCGACUUACAGAGACUAGGGCGUGUGAACUAUGCAUCAGCUGCAGAGUCACUUACAACUACGUCUCACCCAAAAGACGGAGCACAAGGAGGUUAAGUGACUUGCUCAGGGUCACACAAUGAGUCAGUGGCUGAGGUGGGAUUUGAACCCGGGAGCGCCUGGUUCCAAGCCCUUUUCUUUAACCACUGGACCGCACAGCCUCCUAUUACCCCUUUAAUAGGAUCUGGAGUGGAUCAGCAACUGCAUGGUACAAUUACAGAGCAAAUUCACCCGGUGUGUAUCUUCUUUACAGUGUGAAACGAGUGUUUUCUUCUAUACUCUGCAUUUAUCACCAGGGCAGUGAACAGGUGUGCUUGUCAGGGUUUAAAACAAUAGCAACACCUAAUAAAAAUAUUUGUGUUGAAAUGCCCUAGGUCAUUACCUAGCUGCUCCCAAACUCACAGCUGAAGCAGGGAGCCGUCCUGUGUAUUUCACUGUGCAGGUGUGUGCUGCUGUGUGACUGUGAGACUCCUCAGUGCUCCAUGUGCAUUGAGCUCCCCUGGCUGUCCCAAUUCUUCCAGACACAGAAUAAUACUCUAAAUAACAAUAAAAGGGAUUUCCAGUAGGCUGAUCUGCAGUCGACCUGGUCUCUUCUGGUAUCUUCUCGCUCCCACUGUGGGUGACAGAACCUCUCAGCUGUUGUGGUCCUCUUGUCUAGCCUGCUCCUGAGGAACUGAGCUGUUACCUCAAGGGCAGAGCAGGGUGUGACACAGCAGGAUGCAGCAGAGUGUGGGCUGGGCUGCGCUACACAGCAGGGUCCUGACGGAACACAGAGGACUGUAGACAAGUAUCUCUGAGGCACCAGGAAGUCUGGAGCACAUGGAGCCAGUCGUGCAAUGAGAGAUUACUUUUACAAUUAGCCUGCUUUCACUCAGUCAGUGAUGUUUCCCGGGACCGGAGUUGUUUCGUUAGCAUUUUGUACUGAACUGCUGGGAGGUGCGUCAAUGAUUCUAGAGAGACUGAGGAUCCAAGCCUAAUCCCAAGAGACCAGCGUGCUGUCUCUCACUGUGUGUGUGUGUGGGCAGGUUUAUAGUGCUUGCUGGAUCAAAAAGGUCUCCUGACAAAACCUACCUUAUGAGGACACAGGCCUCACUAAACACUACAAGUCAGAUAUUAAACAGUUACAAAUAAAAAAUAAAUACAAAUAAAUAAAAAAUGUAUUUCUACAAGUUGUAGAAUGAAGCAGAAAGGUGCUCCAUGAAAGCAGAAUCGACACUAGAAGCAACAGAUAUUAUUCAACGUUUUCUGGCAACAUGUAGACUAGCGUCCCCUCGGCUUAAGGAGAAAUCCUUCCAGUUGCAAGAUAAAGAAUCCCAGUUACUUUCCAGAACCUUCAAGACAAUAAGGCUCUCAUACCCCCCACCUGAGCUGUGAUGCCUGGCCCCUUGUGUGUACUCAGUCUAUGCUAACAUAGCUUUCAUAUCUUCUUUUAAUAUGUAUGCUUUGUAAAUGUCAUUGUAAUACUAGUUCUAUUUAAUUACCUUUCAUGUAUACACUUGUAUCUGUUCAUGUCUUCUGCGUAAUAAUUCUUCAGCUUAAUAAAGGACGCUGGCUCCA